GUCGAACUGUCAUGGACAUCUGAUAAAAUUAGAACGAUACAGAGAAGAUUAACAUAGAAGGAUGACACGCACAAAAUCGGGAAAUGGUCCAAAUUUUG